rnacentral:lncRNA from 1 species
AAAAUAAUAAAAUUUAUACUUCAUAAUCAUGCUAUUUUCAUGAGAUAUAUUUAUAAAAUUAAUACUUAUAAUAAAUAUAUUUUUUCAUACCACACAUGUUGAUCUUUAUUUUAUGAAAAAUAUGAUUUCAUCAAUAAAAGAUUACAUGCAUGAAAACCAUGAAAGUUUAAAAAUAAAUAAGAAGUGUAAGAUCCACUUACCUCGAUCACCCU